rnacentral:rRNA from 1 species
UACGGGGGGAGCAAGCGUUGUUCGGAUUUACUGGGCGUAAAGGGCGCGUAGGCGGCCAGCACAAGUCAGUUGUGAAAUCUCCGAGCUUAACUCGGAAAGGUCAACUGAUACUGCGCGGCUAGAGUGCGGAAGGGGCAACUGGAAUUCUUGGUGUAGCGGUGAAAUGCGUAGAUAUCAAGAGGAACACCUGCGGCGAAGGCGGGUUGCUGGGCCGACACUGACGCUGAGGCGCGAAAGCCAGGGGAGCGAACGGG